rnacentral:rRNA from 1 species
UACGUAGGGGGCUAGCGUUAUCCGGAAUUACUGGGCGUAAAGGGUGCGUAGGUGGUUUCUUAAGUCAGAGGUGAAAGGCUACGGCUCAACCGUAGUAAGCCUUUGAAACUGGGAAACUUGAGUACUGGAGAGGAUAGUGGAAUUCCUAGUGUAGCGGUAAAAUGCGUAGAUAUUAGGAGGAACACCAGUGGCGAAGGCGACUAUCUGGACAGUAACUGACGCUGAGGCGCGAAAGCGUGGGGAGCAAACAGGAUUAGAUACCCCGGUAGUCCCUGAGCGGGCUGG